GGACCUGAUAUCAGGCAAGAUUACCCGCUGAAUUUAAGCAUAUAACUAAGCGGAGGAAAAGAAACUAACAAGGAUUCCCCUA
rnacentral:ncRNA from 1 species